AACGGGACCAUACAGAGUGAGGUAGAUUGGGGAGAGGAGAGACUGGAGAACGGGUCCAUACAGAGUGAGGUAGAUUGGGGAGAGGAGAGACUGGAGAAUGGGUCCAUACAGAGUGAGGUAGAUUGGGGAGAGGAGAGACUGGGGAACGGGUCCAUACAGAGUGAGGUAGAUUGGGGAGAGAAGAGACUGGGGAACGGGUCCAUACAGAGUGAGGUAGAUUGGGGAGAGAAGAGACUGGGGAACGG